UACGGAGGGGGGCUAGCGUUGUUCGGAAUUACUGGGCGUAAAGCGCACGUAGGCGGCUUUGUAAGUUAGAGGUGAAAGCCCGGGGCUCAACUCCGGAAUUGCCUUUAAGACUGCAUCGCUAGAAUUGUGGAGAGGUAAGUGGAAUUCCGAGUGUAGAGGUGAAAAUUCGUAGAUAUUCGGAAGAACACCAGUGGCGAAGGCGGACUUACUGGACACAUAUUGACGCUGAGGUGCGAAAGCGUGGGGAGCAAACAGG
rnacentral:rRNA from 1 species